GACGAACGCUGGCGGCGUGCUUAACACAUGCAAGUCGAACGGAAAGGCCCUGCUUUUGUGGGGUGCUCGAUUGGCGAACGGGUGAGUAACACGUGAGUAACCUGCCCUUGACUUUGGGAUAACUUCAGGAAACUGGGGCUAAUACCGGAUAGGAGCUCCUGCUGCAUGGUGGGGGUUGGAAAGUUUCGGCGGUUGGGGAUGGACUCGCGGCUUAUCAGCUUGUUGGUGGGGUAGUGGCUUACCAAGGCUUUGACGGGUAGCCGGCCUGAGAGGGUGACCGGCCACAUUGGGACUGAGAUACGGCGCAGACUCCUACGGGAGGCAGCAGUGGAGAAUAUUGCACAAUGGGCGGAAGCCUGAUGCAGCAACGCCGCGUGCGGGAUGACGGCCUUCGGGUUGUAAACCGCUUUCGCCUGUGACGAAGCGUGAGUGACGGUAAUGGGUAAAGAAGCACCGGCUAACUACGUG
rnacentral:rRNA from 1 species